rnacentral:rRNA from 1 species
CAAUAGCGUAUAUUAAAGUUGUUGCAGUUAAAAAGCUCGUAGUUGGAUUUCUGGUUGAAGCGACCGGUCGGGCGUUGAUUCGUCUGCACUGGAGUCGGUUUUGGCCAUCCUCUAGGAAAGUGCGUCUGGUAUUAAGUUAUCGGGCGUAUGAUCCUGGUCUUUUACUGUGAAAAAAUUAGAGUGUUUAAAGCAGGCCUUCGCCUUGAAUACAUUAGCAUGGAAUAAUAAGAUAGGACUUUGGUCUAUUUUGUUGGUUUGCAGACUGAAGUAAUGAUUAAUAGGGAUAGUUGGGGGUAUUUAUAUUCCGAUGUCAGAGGUGAAAUUCUUAGAUUUUCGGAAGAUAAACUUAUGCGAAAGCAUUUACCAAGGAUGUUUUCAUUAA